rnacentral:rRNA from 1 species
CAGUCGCCGCGGUAAUACGUAUGUCACGAGCGUUAUCCGGAUUUAUUGGGCGUAAAGCGCGUCUAGGUGGUUAUAUAAGUCUGAUGUGAAAAUGCAGGGCUCAACUCUGUAUUGCGUUGGAAACUGUAUAACUAGAGUACUGGAGAGGUAAGCGGAACUACAAGUGUAGAGGUGAAAUUCGUAGAUAUUUGUAGGAAUGCCGAUGGGGAAGCCAGCUUACUGGACAGAUACUGACGCUGAAGUGCGAAAGCGUGGGUAGCAAACAGGAUUAGAUACCCGUGUAGUCCCUGUCUCUUAUACA